CCUACGGGAGGCAGCAGUGGGGAAUAUUGCACAAUGGGGGAAACCCUGAUGCAGCGACGCCGCGAGAGUGAAGAAGUAUUUCGGUAUGUAAAGCUCUAUCAGCAGGGAAGAUAAUGACGGUACCUGAGUAAGAAGCCCCGGCUAACUACGUGCCAGCAGCCGCGGUAAUACGUAGGGGGCAAGCGUUAUCCGGAUUUACUGGGUGUAAAGGGAGCGUAGACGGCAGUGCAAGUCUGGAGUGAAAGGCGGGGGCUCAACCCCCGGACUGCUCUGGAAACUGUACGGCUGGAGUGCAGGAGAGGUAAGUGGAAUUCCUAGUGUAGCGGUGAAAUGCGUAGAUAUUAGGAGGAACACCAGUGGCGAAGGCGGCUUACUGGACUGUAACUGACGUUGAGGCUCGAAAGCGUGGGGAGCAAACAGGAUUAGAUACCCGUGUAGUC
rnacentral:rRNA from 1 species